rnacentral:rRNA from 1 species
UGAUCCUGCCAGUGGCCAUAUGCUUGUUUAAAGGAUUAAGCCAUGCAAAUGUAAGUAUACGACUUCAAAAACUGUGAAUAGCUCAUUAUAACGGUUAUAACUUUAGCGGCGCUAAAUACUAUAAGGAUAUCUAUGGUAAUUCUGUAGCUAAAACUGUUGUUUUUAACUCAGUUUGAAUUCUAGCCCGAUUCAGCGUAAGCUGAUUCGUGAAGAAUGAUUCACAGCUAAAUCAGAGGUUUCUGAUGUUCCGCAAAGGUUUCCGACCUAUCAGUUUCUGGCGGUAGAGUCUUGGUCUACCGAUACUAUGACGGGUAACGGGGAAUCAGGGUUUUAUUCCGGAGAGGGAGCUUGAGAGAUAGCUACCACAUCUAAGGAUGGCAGCAGGCGCGCAAAUUACCCAAUCUUAAUAUAAGGAGGUAGCGACAAAAAAUACCGUUGUUUGGCUUUUAAGUCAACAAACGGAAUGAGGGUUGACUAAAUUUCUUCUCUAAAGUCCAUUGGAGGGCAAGUC